rnacentral:rRNA from 1 species
UGUGAGAGCACGGCCCCCCACAAUGGGACUGAGACACGGCCCAUACUCCUACGGGAGGCAGCAGCAGGGAAUAUUGCACAAUGGACGGAAGUCUGAUGCAGCGACGCCGGGUGAGUGAAGAAGGCCUUCGGGUUGUAAAACUCUUUUGAGGGGGAAGAGCGAGGACGGUACCCCUGGAAUAAGCGUCGGCUAACUACGUGCCAGCAGCCGCGGUAAGACGUAGGACGCGAGCGUUAUCCGGAUUUACUGGGCGUAAAGCGUCUGUAGGCGGAUGUGUAAGUUGGGCGUGAAAGCUCCGGGCUUAACCCGGAGAGGCCGUUCAAUACUGCAUAACUUGAGGGUGUCAGAGGGGAGCGGAAUUCCCGGUGUAGCGGUAAAAUGCGCAGAGAUCGGGAGGAACACCAGUGGCGGAGGCGGUUCCCUGGGGCACACCUGACGCUGAGAGACGAAAGCUAGGGGAGCGAACAGGAUUAGAGACCCUGGUAGUCCUAGCCCUAAACGAUGAAUGCUAGGUGUGGGAUCGAAUGGUUCCGUGCCGGAGCGAACGCGAUAAGCAUUCCGCCUGGGGAGUACGGCCGCAAGGUUAAAACUCAAACGAAUUGACGGGGCCCCGCACAAGCAGCGGAGCGUGUGGUUUAAUUCGAUGCUACACGAAGAACCUUACCUGGGUUUGACAUGUAGGUGGUAGUGAAUCGAAAGGUGAACGACCCUUCGGGGAGCCUACACAGGUGCUGCAUGGCUGUCGUCAGCUCGUGCCGUGAGGUGUCGGGUUAAGUCCCGUAACGAGCGCAACCCUUGCUCCUAGUUACAAGUGUCUAGGGGGACUGCCGGCGGAAAGCCGGAGGAAGGUGGGGAUGACGUCAAGUCAGCAUGGCCCUUAUAUCCAGGGCUACACACACGCUACAAUGGUCGGUACA